rnacentral:rRNA from 1 species
AGUCGAGCGAAUCUUUAGGAGCUUGCUCCUGAAGGUUAGCGGCGGACGGGUGAGUAACACGUGGGCAACCUGCCUGUAAGACUGGGAUAACUUCGGGAAACCGGAGCUAAUACCGGAUAAUCCUGUUCCUCACAUGAGGGAAAGCUGAAAGACGGUUUCGGCUGUCACUUACAGAUGGGCCCGCGGCGCAUUAGCUAGUUGGUGAGGUAACGGCUCACCAAGGCAACGAUGCGUAGCCGACCUGAGAGGGUGAUCGGCCACACUGGGACUGAGACACGGCCCAGACUCCUACGGGAGGCAGCAGUAGGGAAUCUUCCGCAAUGGACGAAAGUCUGACGGAGCAACGCCGCGUGAGCGAAGAAGGCCUUCGGGUCGUAAAAGCUCUGUUGUUAAGGGAAGAACAAGUAUCGGAGUAACUGCCGUUACCUUGACGGUACCUAACCAGUAAAGCCACGGCUAACUACGUGCCAGCAGUCCGCGGUUAAUAACGUAAAUGGCAAGCNUUGUCCGGAAUUAUUGGGCGUAAAGCGCGCGCAGGCGGUCCUUUAAGUCUGAUGUGAAAGCCCACGGCUCAACCGUGGAGGGUCAUUGGAAACUGGGGGACUUGAGUGCAGAAGAGGAAAGCGGAAUUCCACGUGUAGCGGUGAAAUGCGUAGAGAUGUGGAGGAACACCAGUGGCGAAGGCGGCUUUCUGGUCUGUAACUGACGCUGAGGCGCGAAAGCGUGGGGAGCAAACGGGAUUAGAUACCCUGGUAGUCCACGCCGUAAACGAUGAGUGCUAAGUGUUAGAGGGUUUCCGCCCUUUAGUGCUGCAGCUAACGCAUUAAGCACUCCGCCUGGGGAGUACGGCCGCAAGGCUGAAACUCAAAGGAAUUGACGGGGGCCCGCACAAGCGGUGGAGCAUGUGGUUUAAUUCGAAACAACGCGAAGAACCUUACCAGGUCUUGACAUCCUCUGACACUCCUAGAGAUAGGACGUUCCCCUUCAGGGGACAGAGUGACAGGUGGUGCAUGGUUGUCGUCAGCUCGUGUCGUGAGAUGUUGGGUUAAGUCCCGCAACGAGCGCAACCC